GAUGAACGCUGGCGGCGUGCCUAAUACAUGCAAGUCGAGCGAACAGACGAGGAGCUUGCUCCUCUGACGUUAGCGGCGGACGGGUGAGUAACACGUGGAUAACCUACCUAUAAGACUGGGAUAACUUCGGGAAACCGGAGCUAAUACCGGAUAAUAUAUUGAACCGCAUGGUUCAAUAGUGAAAGACGGUUUUGCUGUCACUUAUAGAUGGAUCCGCGCCGCAUUAGCUAGUUGGUAAGGUAACGGCUUACCAAGGCGAUGAUGCGUAGCCGACCUGAGAGGGUGAUCGGCCACACUGGAACUGAGACACGGUCCAGACUCCUACGGGAGGCAGCAGUAGGGAAUCUUCCGCAAAGGGCGAAAGCCUGACGGAGCAACGCCGCGUGAGUGAUGAAGGUCUUCGGAUCGUAAAACUCUGUUAUUAGGGAAGAACAAAUGUGUAAGUAACUAUGCACGUCUUGACGGUACCUAAUCAGAAAGCCACGGCUAACUACGUG
rnacentral:rRNA from 1 species